CAGAUUUCAAAAUGAAAUAAACAAAACCGAACACCCAUCAAUCAUCAACAGGCAAACCCACAAAUCCACCGCGCCCACCGGCGGCUCCGCCUUGUCGCAUUCCCUCAGCCGCCUUGGAUCGGAGCUCUGAUCGAUACGAUUUUCUCUCGCCGCGUUUUCGCAUCCAGCCGCCGAGAUGCCCGCCUCCGCCGCGUCGAACCACUCCAAUCGUCCGCAGGACUUGAUCGGGCGGCUGAACUCGGCGCACACUCCGGACGAGGACAAGCUAAAAGCAUUGAGAGACUUGAAGAAUCAGAUAAUUGGAAACCGUACGAAGAAGCUGGCUUUCUUGAAGCUCGGCGCUGUGCCCUCCGUCGUAGCUAUUCUCUCCGCCUCCGUCGCAUCCGCUCAAGGCGGAGGCGGCGGGGACAAUCGUGAGUUUCAUGAGUCUGUUUUGAUCCAAUCCGCCGCUGCCAUCGGCAGCUUUGCAUGUGGAUUUGAUGCUGGAGUCAAAUCUGUAUUGGACUCCGGUGCUUUUCCCCUUUUGUUAAACCUUAUCUCCCAUCCGAACGAGAAGGUUGCUGAUGCUGGUGCUCGAUCUCUUAGAAUGAUUUAUCAAUCAAAAAUGGCUCCAAAGUAUGAUUUUCUUGAAGAGAAAAACAUGGAAUUUCUUCUUUCACUGCUGAACAGUGAGAAUGAGAAUGUUACUGGUCUUGGUGCAAGUAUUAUCACGCACUCAUGCCAGACAACCAUUGAUCAGCAGGCUCUGAGUGAAGCUGGAGUUGUAAAACGGCUUGUUGGUCUUCUUGAAGGUUCUUUAAUUCAGAGGGAUGCUAGCUUAGAAUCUCUAGCUGCUGUCGUCAAGGAUAAUCCAAAAGUUGCUUCGAGGUUCAUAGGGCCUGAGAAUGGAAGGGAACUAAAUGUAGUAACUGAAUUGAUGAAUGAUAAGUAUCCUCGGACAAGACUAUUAGCCUGCAUGUGUUUAAUCAACAUAAGAAAUACUUCUACAUCUUUUCUUCAAGAUGCAGGAAUCAAGAACAAAUUGGUUUUGAUAUUACUUGAGCUUCUUGAUGAUCCUGGUCAAGUUGGAGAUGAAGCACCAUACGGGUUGUCUAAUUUGAUUUCAGGGAAGGAGGAUGUACAAAAAGUUGCGUUUAAUGCAAAAGUGAUUGAGAAACUAUUUGACAACUUAAAGAAAGGUUCAUUUAAAACCAAACGUGUGCAGGGGAUAUUUUUAGCACUGGCCGAUCUUUGCUCGAAUUUAGAAUGCUGCAGGGAUAUGGUCCUUCAGUUAAAGGUGUUAGAUUUUGCAUCCGAAGCAUUAGCUCACGAUAGUGCUGAAUUGCGUGCGGCCGCUUGCAUUUUCUUGAAGAAUGCUUCUCGUUCUGUCAAGAGUUUGAGUGCAGGUCAAUUUAUGAAUGAAACAAUCAUCUUUCCAUUGGUCCAGCUUUUAUCUGACUCAUGUACUUCUGUCCAGGUUGCUGCUCUGGGGGCCAUCAGUAACGUUGUAGUGAAUUUCGUCCCCCAUAAAUUUCUAUUGAUGCAGUGUGGAUGCGUAAAGCAACUUGUUCAGCUAUCAAAGUCUAUGGAAUCCACCAUUCGAAUUAAUGCCGUUUGGGCAUUAAAAAAUCUUAUGUUCCUUGUGAACGAAAAAUGUAAAGAGGAGAUUCUCUUGGAGCUAACCACAUCCACAUUAACAAGCCUCAUUAGUGACCCUGAUGCUUCUGUCCAAGAGCAAGCUCUGGCUUUGGUACGCAAUCUUGUAGAUGGUAGUGUGAAUUCAAUAGAGUAUGUGUUUGGGGAUGAUGCACUUCUCCUACAUGCUAUUGGAAGGCAAUUACACAGCUCUACAAAACCUGAAGUUCUGGUUCAAGGCAUGUACACCCUCAGUAACGUGGCUUCCGGAAACGAGCACCACAAGGAAGCUGUAAUGAACCAAUUGUUCCCACAGGUGGGCACCCAUAUGGAAACAAUUUUACUCAAGUUUCUACAGAGUGACAACAGCCAGUUACGAACAGCUGCUGUUUGGGCGAUUGUGAAUCUUACUUUCCCUAGCAGUUCAGGAGCAUUUAGUCGAUCUGCUGAACUGCGAAAUGCUGGCAUAGUCUCUCAACUAAAGAAUAUGGUCAACGACCCGUGUUUGGAUGUAAAGCUCCGGACAAGAACCGCUCUCGGGCAGUUGAUACUGUUCGAUAAUACCUCAACGUGAGGGAAUUACAUCGUACAUUUUGAUGCAAGAUGGUGCACAGUUUUUGCCGCUUUAUGUAACAUAGACUGCUUCCUCAGAAGCCCGGAGAGAAAAAUGCUUUGUGGGGAGCUCGACAAAACUGUAGGUCCGGAUAAGCAGGUCCCCUUUUCCCCUUGGUUACAGUUUUGCAUUUCUGAUAGUUAUGAUUUCUUUUUCUUUUUUUUUUCUUCGUCGUUGCUAUAUCAUUAGUCUUUUUUUCUUUUUCCCAUGUAUUGCUAGUCCGGUUCGAUCAGCUGGGCUGUUAUGCUACAGGUGCCAGCGGUGGUCGCCGGUUGUACACAACUACUUUUGUUUAGGCUAGACGCAGAGUUUUUGUCAUGUUAUGUUUUUUACUUGAAGCUGAUAAUGCUAGUGUAUAUAUAUAUUUGAAUCUAGAAUCUGGAAUCUUGUUGGUAAGUUUCUUGAAUCUUGUUAUGUGUGAAAAUAGCUUGUAUGUUUUGCAAAGUUUUGUCGAAGAUUUGACAAUGGUAGGAAUAAUUUAUGAUUGUACUACGUGGGAGAGUUUUGGGAAUGUCUUCUUGUUGUUUGGAAGUCAUUUUUA